CCCUUAGAUGUUCUGGGCCGCACGCGCGCUACACUGUUCGACGCAGCGAGUCUUAACCUUGACCGAAAGGUUUGGGUAAUCUUCAGCAAAGUCGAACGUGAUGGGGAUCGAUCAUUGCAAUUAUUGAUCGUGAACGAGGAAUUCCUAGUAAGUGCAAGUCAUCAGCUUGCGCUGAUUACGUCCCUGCCCUUUGUACACACCGCCCGUCGCUACUACCGAUUGAAUGGUUUAGUGAGAUCUCUGGAUUGACGCUGGCUAGGGGGCGACCCUUGGCCAGGCUGUCGAGAAACUGCUCAAAUUUGAUCAUUUAGAGGAAGUAAAAGUCGUAACA
rnacentral:rRNA from 1 species